rnacentral:rRNA from 1 species
UACAGAGGUCUCAAGCGUUGUUCGGAUUCAUUGGGCGUAAAGGGUGCGUAGGCGGCGCGGUAAGUCGGGUGUGAAAUCUUGGAGCUUAACUCCGAAACUGCAUUCGAUACUGCCGUGCUUGAGGACUGGAGAGGAGACUGGAAUUUACGGUGUAGCGGUGAAAAUGCGUAGAUAUCGUAAGGAAGACCAGUGGCGAAGGCGGGGUCUCUGGAC